rnacentral:misc_RNA from 1 species
UAACAUGUCAUUCAAUUCCCUCUUUCAAUAGUUUUUCAAUUUUCACAAUAUCCGUUUCUCUUUCACCAGAAGGUGAAGAUUUUUUUUCAUUUGAAGAUUGAGGAAAAAUCUCCCAAAAGAUUUACACAACAAUCCCACUGAUUCAAGUACAUUAUUUUUGGUAUGUGUCCUUAGAGGAUCUUGAAUGUGUCCCAAAUCGGUGAAGAGAAGGGGCUAGCAAAUUAGGUCAAUUUUUGGAA